rnacentral:rRNA from 1 species
GACAGAGGGUGCAACGUUGUUCGGAAUUACUGGGCGUAAAGCGCGUGUAGGCGGCCAUGCAAGUCGGAUGUGAAAGCCCUCGGCUCAACCGGGGAAGUGCACUCGAAACUGCAAGGCUAGAGUCUCGGAGAGGAUCGUGGAAUUCUCGGUGUAGAGGUGAAAUUCGUAGAUAUCGAGAGGAACACCGGUGGCGAAGGCGGCGAUCU